ensembl:lncRNA signal-induced proliferation-associated 1
AGAGGAGCGCCACACGCCCACAGAGAGGAGCGCCACACGCCCACAGACAGGAGCGCCACACGCCCACAGAGCGGAGCGCCACACACCCACAGAGAGGAGCGCCACAUACCCACAGAGCGGAGCGCCACAUACCCACAGAGAGGAGCGCCACAUACCCACAGACAGGAGCGCCACACACCCACAGAGCGGAGCGCCACAUACCUACGGAGAGGAGCGCCACACGCCCGCGGAGAGGAGUGUCACAUGCCCACAGAGGAGCCCCGUACGCCCACCGAGGGGAAGAAAUCACGGCGUGAGUCGAUUCGUGGUCACGUGACAUUUAGCACCAUGCAGUCAGACGACCUCUUCAUCCGUAAAUUCCGCCGUCAGACCAUCCGGCCGCCAGUCGCCACCGUCACUUUUGACCCCAAACGGGAGGCGGGCGUAGUGGAGUGGCCCCCCAGGAGGGAUGGCGACCGAACCGACGCCGACAGCCUGACGCCGAGCUGCGUAGGCCUCAACCUGAGGUCGGCGGGCCGGGGUCACAUCAUGCAGAGGAGCAACAGCGACGUGACCCUAGGAGACCUGGACUCGUGUGGGAAGGCGGGGGGGAAGGCUGUGCGGGCGGCAGGGGAGAAGGCGGGCGUGGAGGGCGACUCGGGCGUGCUUCUGCACAGAGAGUACGGCAGCCUGUCGUCACUAGAGAGGCAGAUUCAGGCCCGGGGGCCCAACGCGGACGAGCGGGGCCCCCUGAGUCCCAACGCGCUGCGCUUCAAGGACCCCUUCCUGCUGCUGGGGCUGCAGAGCAGCCUCCCCGAGCCCGACGGCUUCUUCAGAGGACUCAGCACCUCCACGGGGGACUCCCCCAAACCUGCUAAACCCCCCAAGCCUGAAAAUCUGGGUAAAAAGUCCAAACCCGUCCUCGCUCACGUUCCUCAACCAGGCUUGUAUGACAUCAUCGGGGGCGGAGCCUGGGUGAGGAACUUCGCCCACUAUGACGUCCAGAGCAUCCUUUUCGACCUGACCGAGGUAGCCACCAACAGGGACAGCAUCGGGAGGAAGAAGAACAUCACGUCGGGGGCGUCAGCUGCCUCUCAGCUCCGCCCCCUGUGCCAGUCCACACCAUCCGCCCCCACGCAGGGAGGGGGAGGAGGGGGAGGGGCAGGCAACGGCUUGAACGCGGACGAUCCCGAGCAGUCGUUGCUGCUGGACGAAGGAGACGGAAACGACAACGAGCUGCUGCUCAGCUGCCCGCACUUCCGUAACGAGACGGGAGGAGAGCAGCAGGGGGGGCUGAGCCGGUCCCAGGGGGGGAAGGGGAGGGGCCUCUGGUCCAGCCUGAGGACCCCCAACGAUGCUGUGUCUGUCCUGGAGGAGCCCAGAGAGAGUCACGUCCAGCAGCAGGGCAAGAGCAACUACUUCAUAGAGCAUGCAGACCUCGGCGCGCAUUAUUACCGCAAAUAUUUCUACAUGAAAGAACAUCAGAACUUCUUUGGAAUGGACGAUCGUCUCGGUCCCGUUGCCAUCAGUUUUCGGCGAGAGGAGAAAGAAGGAUCCAGUGGCGCUCAGUACAACUACAGAAUCAUCUUUCGCACGACAGAGAUGAAGACGCUGAGAGGUUCCAUCCUGGAGGAAUCUGUUCCGUCUGCAGCUCGUCACACGACUCCCAGAGGUCUUUCACCAAAGCGUCUGCUGGAGUUCAUCAUGCCUGAGCUGAACCUGCACUGCCUGCGUUUGGCCUCCAACUCUCCCAAAGUCAGAGACACUUUACUGAAACUGGACGAGCAGGGACUGAACUUCCAGAGAAAGGUGGGGGUGAUGUACUGCAGGGCGGGGCAGAGCUCUGAGGAGGACAUGUACAACAACGAGAGCUCAGGACCAGCGUUUGAGGAGUUUCUGGAUCUGCUCGGUGAACGAGUGCGACUGAAGGGAUGGGAGAAGUAUCGAGCACAGCUGGACAACAAGACGGACUCAACUGGAACACAUUCCCUCUACACGCGCUACCAGGACUACGAGAUAAUGUUUCAUGUGUCCACGAUGCUUCCCUACACGGCCAACAACACGCAGCAGCUGCUGAGGAAGCGACACAUCGGGAACGACAUCGUCACCAUCGUGUUCCAGGAGCCUGGAGCUCUUCCCUUCACACCAAAGUCCAUACGCUCACAUUUCCAACACGUCUUCAUCAUCGUCCAGGUUCAUGAGCCCUGCUCGGACAAUACAUAUUACAGGGUGGCUGUGACUCGCUCUAAAGACAUCCCAUUAUUCGGUCCUCUGUUCCCUAAGGGCGCUCGGUUCCCUCGCUCCGCCGCCUUCAGAGACUUCCUCCUCGCCAAGGCGGUAAACGCGGAAAACGCCGCUGAGAAGUCGGAGAAGUUCCGCUCCAUGGCAACUCGCACGCGCCAGGAAUACCUGAAGGACUUGGCGGAAAACUACGUGACCACCACGCCCAUUGACUCGUCCACCAAGUUCCCGCUGCUGUCGCUGGGCGGCAAGCGUAAAGACAAGCUGAAGGGCGCCAAGGGGGCGGAGCUUCACAGCGCGGGCGCCCUAGUGUGGGCGGUGAUGGUGCACGGCGAGCACACGCUGCCCUGUCUGCUGGGCGUGUCGGCAGAGUCGGUGGUGCUCAUCGAGAGGUACACGCGCAGGGUGGCGUUCAACUGCUCCUGUCGAGACGUGAUUGGCUGGAAGGCGGUGACGGAGCCCAAAGAGGGCGUGGCCUGCCUGGACAUCUAUUACGAGCGCGGAGCAUCUGUGUCCAUCACUGUGAUGGAGACGCAGGUGGAGGAUAUCAAAGAGGUGGUGCAGAGGCUCGAGCUGGUGACUCGAGGCUGCGAGGCGUUCGAGGUCACCCCUCUGCGUGACGGCGUGGGACAGCCAGGCUUCCUCAUGAACGACGAAGGCUUCGUGACGGAGCUGCAGCGGUUCUGCUACGCUGAGAGCGGCGGUCUGCAGCUGUGGGCGCGCGUGGUGCGACUCUGCGGGCAUUCGCUGGUUCACCUCAGCCUGGAGGAGAGAUCCAGGCUGCUGAGGACGGCCCACAAAGUCCACAUCACCGUCAUCCCACCGGACGAGAACGGAAAGCCUCGCAGGUGA